rnacentral:rRNA from 1 species
CUACGGGGCGCUGCAGUGGGGAAUAUUGGACAAUGGGCGCAAGCCUGAUCCAGCAAUGCCGCGUGUGUGAAGAAGGCCUUCGGGUUGUAAAGCACUUUUGUUAGGGAGGAAAGUCUGGUAGCUAAUAACUGCUAGAUCUGACGUUACCUAAAGAAUCAGCACCGGCUAACUCUGUGCCAGCAGCCGCGGUAAUACAGAGGGUGCAAGCGUUAAUCGGAAUUACUGGGCGUCAAGGGUCUGUAGGCGGAUUAUUAAGUCGGAUGUGAAAUCCCCGGGCUCAACCUGGGAACGGCAUUCGAUACUGGUAGUCUAGAGUGUGCAAGAGGAUGGGGGAAUUCCUGGUGUAGCAGUGAAAUGCGUAGAGAUCAGGAGGAACAUCAAUGGCGAAGGCACCUUUCUGGGGCGACACUGACGCUGAGAGACGAAAGCGUGGGGAGCAAACAGGAUUAGAUACCCUGGUAGUC